AUUGAACGCUGGCGGCAGGCCUAACACAUGCAAGUCGAGCGGAUGAAGGGAGCUUGCUCCUGGAUUCAGCGGCGGACGGGUGAGUAAUGCCUAGGAAUCUGCCUGGUAGUGGGGGAUAACGUCCGGAAACGGGCGCUAAUACCGCAUACGUCCUGAGGGAGAAAGUGGGGGAUCUUCGGACCUCACGCUAUCAGAUGAGCCUAGGUCGGAUUAGCUAGUUGGUGGGGUAAAGGCCUACCAAGGCGACGAUCCGUAACUGGUCUGAGAGGAUGAUCAGGCACACUGGAACUGAGACACGGUCCAGACGCCAACGGGAGGCAGCAGUGGGGAAUAUUGGACAAUGGGCGAAAGCCUGAUCCAGCCAUGCCGCGUGUGUGAAGAAGGUCUUCGGAUUGUAAAGCACUUUAAGUUGGGAGGAAGGGCAGUAAGUUAAUACCUGGCUGUUUUGACGUUACCAACAGAAUAAGCACCGGCUAACUUCGU
rnacentral:rRNA from 1 species